CGACCUGCACGAAAGGUGUAACGACUGGGAUGCUGUCUUUGAGAAAGAUUCGGUGAAAUAGAAAUGUCUGUGAAGAUACGGACUAUCUACACCUGGACAGAAAGACCCUAUGAAGCUUUACUAUAUUUUGAAAUUAAAAAUAAAAUAUAUUUGUGUAGAAUAAGUGGGAGACUAAUUAAUUAGUUUAUCUUGAAUACCACUCUUAUAUAUUUUAUUUUUUUAUUAUAAUAUUGUUAACCAAUUAUAAGAAAAUUUUAAAAAGGUAGUUUGACUGGGGCGGUAGCCUCCUAAAGAGCAACGGAGGUGUACAAAGGUCUUUUUUUAAUUUAAAAUAAUUUUUUAAAUUAAAACUAUAAAGGGAAAAAAAGGCUUGAUUGCAAGAGUUACUACUCGAGCAAGGACGAAAGUCGGUCUUAAUGAUCCGACAGUUCUUAGUGGAAAGGCUGUCGCUUAACGAAUAAAAGUUACUCUAGGGAUAACAGGCUGAUCUCCCCCUAAAGUUCCUAUUGACGGGGAGGGUUGGCACCUCGAUGUCGGCUCGUCGCAUCCUGAGGCUGAAGUAGGUCUCAAGGGUUGGUCUGUUCGCCCAUUAAAGCGGCACGUGAGCUGGGUUCAGAACGUCGUGAGACAGUUCGGUCCAUAUCCGGUGUAGCACAAUAAGAACAUUGAAAAGUUUUUCUUUU
rnacentral:rRNA from 1 species